rnacentral:rRNA from 1 species
GGCUUAGAGUUUGAUCCUGGCUCAGGAUGAACGCUGGCGGCGUGCUUAACACAUGCAAGUCGAACGGACGCUUUGUAGCAAUACGGAGCGUUAGUGGCAGACGGGUGAGUAACACGUGGGUGAUCUACCUCAAAGUGGGGAACAACGGAUCGAAAGGUUCGCUAAUACCUCAUGUGCUCGAUGAUUCAGUUUGUCGAGUAAAGCCCCCUUCGGGAGGCGCUUUGAGAGGAGCCUGCGGCCCAUCAGGUAGUUGGUGAGGUAAUGGCCUACCAAGCCGAUGACGGGUAGCUGUUCUGAGAGGAAGAUCAGCCACAAUGGAACUGAGACACGGUCCAUACUCCUACGGGAGGCAGCAGUGAGGAAUAUUGCACAAUGGACGAAAGUCUGAUGCAGCGACGCCGCGUGCGGGAUGAAGGCCCUCGGGUCGUAAACCGCUUUUUGUAG